AUGCAAGUGCCCUUCCAAGCGCUCGCCUCCAAACCACCCUAUCUCCACCUCCACCUCCACCCCACAUUAGGUUGGUUUCGCGUACACGUUCCGUGUCACAGCUGGGUAGCUUCAACGUACUCCAAAGUGGUGCUGUGCGGAGUUAGCUUGAAGAUGAGCAGGAACAAUGGCAAGGGGCCGAAGCUGGACCUGAGGCUGAGCUUCUCGCGGUCACGCGGCGGCGGCGGCGGAGGCGGAGGGGGUCCUUCGGCUGCGCCGCCGGGAGGCAGCAACUCGCCGAGGAGGAUGUCUUCGUCGUCUUCUUCCUCGGCAUCCCCGCCGAGCUCGUGCGUGUCUUCGGAGGGGAGCCCGGAGGCUGGCGGGGGCAGUGGUGGCUCGGCGAUGAUCCUCGCGGGCUGCCCCCGGUGCAUGAUGUACGUGAUGCUGUCGCGGGAGGACCCCAAGUGCCCCAAGUGCCACAGCACUGUGCUCCUCGACUUCAACGAUGUCGGCGCCGACCACCGCAACCCAGGGUUCGGCUCCGGCAAAGUCGGCAAGGGAAAGCGCGGCUGA
rnacentral:rRNA from 1 species